GACGAACGCUGGCGGCGUGCUUAACACAUGCAAGUCGAACGGAAAGGCCCUGCUUGCAGGGUCCUCGAGUGGCGAACGGGUGAGUAACACGUGGGUGAUCUGCCCUUCACUUCGGGAUAAGCCUGGGAAACUGGGUCUAAUACCGGAUAGGAGCCAUUUUUAGUGUGAUGGUUGGAAAGUUUUUUCGGUGUAGGAUGAGCUCGCGGCCUAUCAGCUUGUUGGUGGGGUAAUGGCCUACCAAGGCGGCGACGGGUAGCCGGCCUGGGAGGGUGGACGGCCACAUUGGGACUGAGAUACGGCCCAGACUCCUACGGGAGGCAGCAGUGGGGAAUAUUGAACAAGGGGGGCAAGCCUGAUGCAGAGACGCCGCGUGGGGGAGGACGGCCUUCGGGUUGUAAAAUCCUUUCGCUAGGGACGAAGCUUUUUGUGACGGUACCUAGAUAAGAAGCACCGGCUAACUACGUG
rnacentral:rRNA from 1 species